rnacentral:rRNA from 1 species
GACGAACGCUGGCGGCGUGCCUAAUACAUGCAAGUAGAACGCUGAAGCUUGGUGCUUGCACCGAGCGGAUGAGUUGCGAACGGGUGAGUAACGCGUAGGUAACCUGCCUGGUAGCGGGGGAUAACUAUUGGAAACGAUAGCUAAUACCGCAUAACAGUAGAUAUCGCAUGAUAGCUACUUGAAAGGUGCAAAUGCACCACUACCAGAUGGACCUGCGUUGUAUUAGCUAGUUGGUGAGGUAACGGCUCACCAAGGCAACGAUACAUAGCCGACCUGAGAGGGUGAUCGGCCACACUGGGACUGAGACACGGCCCAGACUCCUACGGGAGGCAGCAGUAGGGAAUCUUCGGCAAUGGACGGAAGUCUGACCGAGCAACGCCGCGUGAGUGAAGAAGGUUUUCGGAUCGUAAAGCUCUGUUGUAAGAGAAGAACGAGUGUGAGAGUGGAAAGUUCACACUGUGGCGGUAUCUUACCAGAAAGGGACGGCUAACUACGUG